GUUGUAUAGUCAAGUAAUUAAGUGCAUGUGGUGGAUGCCUUGGCAGUCAGAGGCGAUGAAAGACGUGAUAGCCUGCGAAAAGCUCCGGGGAGGCGGCAAAUAUCCUUUGAUCCGGAGAUGUCUGAAUGGGGGAACCCACCUACUUUAAGGUAGGUAUUGCAACAUGAAUACAUAGUGUUGCAAGGCGAACGAGGGGAAGUGAAACAUCUCAGUACCCUUAGGAAAAGAAAUCAAUUGAGAUUCCCUCAGUAGCGGCGAGCGAACGGGGAUCAGCCCAUUAAGUUAUGUGUGUUUUAGUGGAACGCUCUGGGAAGUGCGAACGUAGAGGGUGAUAUUCCCGUACACGAAAGGGCACACAUAAUGAUGACGAGUAGGGCGAGGCACGUGAAACCUUGUCUGAAUAUGGGGGGACCAUCCUCCAAGGCUAAAUACUCCUGACUGACCGAUAGUGAACCAGUACCGUGAGGGAAAGGCGAAAAGAACCCCUGUGAGGGGAGUGAAAUAGAUCCUGAAACCGCAUGCAUACAAGCAGUGGGAGCACCUUCGUGGUGUGACUGCGUACCUUUUGUAUAAUGGGUCAGCGACUUAUAUUCAGUAGCAAGGUUAACCGUAUAGGGGAGCCGUAGAGAAAUCGAGUCUUAAUAGGGCGUUUAGUUGCUGGGUAUAGACCCGAAACCAGGCGAUCUAUCCAUGAGCAGGUUGAAGGUUGGGUAACACUAACUGGAGGACCGAACCCACUGUCGUUGAAAAGCCAGGGGAUGACUUGUGGAUAGGGGUGAAAGGCUAAUCAAGCCUGGUGAUAGCUGGUUCUCCCCGAAAGCUAUUUAGGUAGCGCCUCGGACGAAUACCAUAGGGGGUAGAGCACUGUUUCGGCUAGGGGGUCAUCCCGACUUACCAAACCGAUGCAAACUCCGAAUACCUAUGAGUACUAUCCGGGAGACAGACUGCGGGUGCUAACGUCCGUAGUCAAGAGGAAAACAAUCCAGACCGCCAGCUAAGGCCCCAAAAUCAUAGUUAAGUGGGAAACGAUGUGGGAAGGCAUAGACAGCUAGGAGGUUGGCUUAGAAGCAGCCACCCUUUAAAGAAAGCGUAAUAGCUCACUAGUCGAGUCGGCCUGCGCGGAAGAUGUAACGGGGCUAAAACUAUGUGCCGAAGCUGCGGAUNNNNNNNNNNNNNNNNNNNNNNNNNNNNNNNAUGCUGGAGGUAUCAGAAGUGCGAAUGCUGACGUGAGUAACGACAAAACGGGUGAAAAACCCGUUCGCCGAAAGACCAAGGGUUCCAGUCCAACGUUAAUCGGGGCUGGGUGAGUCGACCCCUAAGGCGAGGCCGAAAGGCGUAGUCGAUGGGAAAAUGGUUAAUAUUCCAUUACUUCUGUGUAAUGCGAUGAGAGGACGGAGAAGGCUAAAUCAGCCUGGCGUUGGUUGUCCAGGUGAAAGGAUGUAGGCAUGUAUCUUAGGCAAAUCCGGGGUACUCUAUGCUGAGAUCUGAUAGCAAGCUGUACUUGUACAGCGAAGUGGUUGAUGCCAUGCUUCCAGGAAAAGUCUCUAAGCUUCAGUUACACAGGAAUCGUACCCGAAACCGACACAGGUGGUCAGGUCGAGUAGACCAAGGCGCUUGAGAGAACUCUGCUGAAGGAACUAGGCAAAAUGGUACCGUAACUUCGGGAGAAGGUACGCUGUUGUUGGUGAUGGAACUCGCUUCCUGAGCUGACGACAGCCGCAGAAACCAGGCCGCUGCAACUGUUUAUUAAAAACAUAGCACUCUGCAAACACGAAAGUGGACGUAUAGGGUGUGAUGCCUGCCCGGUGCUGGAAGGUUAAUUGAUGGGGUUAGCGUAAGCGAAGCUCUUGAUCGAAGCCCCAGUAAACGGCGGCCGUAACUAUAACGGUCCUAAGGUAGCGAAAUUCCUUGUCGGGUAAGUUCCGACCUGCACGAAUGGCAUAAUGAUGGCGGCGCUGUCUCCAGCAGAGGCUCAGUGAAAUCGAAAUCGCUGUGAAGAUGCAGUGUACCCGCGGCUAGACGGAAAGACCCCGUGAACCUUUACUGCAGCUUGACACUGAACUUUGACCUUACUUGUGUAGGAUAGGUGGGAGGCUUUGAAGCUGGAACGCUAGUUCCAGUGGAGCCGUCCUUGAAAUACCACCCUGGUAAUGUUGAGGUUCUAACUCUGUCCCGUGAUCCGGGACGAGGACCGUGUCUGGUGGGUAGUUUGACUGGGGCGGUCUCCUCCUAAAGAGUAACGGAGGAGUACGAAGGUGCGCUCAGCGUGGUCGGAAAUCACGCGUAGAGUAUAAAGGCAAAAGCGCGCUUAACUGCGAGACCCACAAGUCGAGCAGGUACGAAAGUAGGUCUUAGUGAUCCGGUGGUUCUGUAUGGAAGGGCCAUCGCUCAACGGAUAAAAGGUACUCUGGGGAUAACAGGCUGAUACCGCCCAAGAGUUCAUAUCGACGGCGGUGUUUGGCACCUCGAUGUCGGCUCAUCUCAUCCUGGGGCUGAAGCAGGUCCCAAGGGUAUGGCUGUUCGCCAUUUAAAGAGGUACGCGAGCUGGGUUUAGAACGUCGUGAGACAGUUCGGUCCCUAUCUACCGUGGGCGCUGGAAAUUUGAGAGGAUCUGCUCCUAGUACGAGAGGACCAGAGUGGACGAACCUCUGGUGUACCGGUUGUGACGCCAGUCGCAUCGCCGGGUAGCUAUGUUCGGAAGGGAUAACCGCUGAAAGCAUCUAAGCGGGAAGCCUACCUCAAGAUAAGAUUUCCCUAGGACUUUAUGUCCUCUAAAGAGCCGUUCGAGACUAGGACGUUGAUAGGUUGGAUGUGGAAGCAUAGUGAUAUGUGAAGCUGACCAAUACUAAUUGCUCGUGAGGCUUGACUAUACAACACCCAAGCAGUUG
rnacentral:rRNA from 1 species